rnacentral:rRNA from 1 species
GUGGGCCUACGGGGCGCAGCAGUGGGGAAUAUUGCACAAUGGGGGAAACCCUGAUGCAGCAACGCCGCGUGAGUGAAGAAGUAUCUUGGUAUGUAAAGCUCUAUCAGCAGGGAAGAAAAUGACGGUACCUGACUAAGAAGCCCCGGCUAACUACGUGCCAGCAGCCGCGGUAAUACGUAGGGGGCAAGUGUUAUCCGGAUUUACUGGGUGUAAAGGGAGCGUAGACGGUGUGGCAAGUCUGA